rnacentral:rRNA from 1 species
UACGUAGGGGGCAAGCGUUGUCCGGAAUCAUUGGGCGUAAAGAGCGUGUAGGCGGCCAGAAAAGUCCGCUGUGAAAACUCGAGGCUCAACUUCGAGCUGUCGGUGGAAACUUUCUGGCUAGAGUCCGGAAGAGGAGAAUGGAAUUCCUGGUGUAGCGGUGGAAUGCGUAGAGAUCCGGAAGAACACCGGUGGCGAAGGCGGUCUGCUGGGCAGUUGCUGACGCUGAUGCGCGACAGCGUGGGGAGCAAACAGG